CCCUCUUAAAAAGCACUUGCUCUAUCUAUUUAGUGAUGGGGUGAGCUGUCGUGGAAGGGUAGAGUGAUGCAUCACUCUUGGGUGAGGUGGCAGCACGUGCUGUUAACCUCAAUCCGUGGUGCAACAGUA